rnacentral:rRNA from 1 species
GACGAACGCUGGCGGCGUGCUUCACACAUGCAAGUCGAACGAGUGGCGAACGGGUGAGUAACACGUGGGUGAUCUGCCUUGCACUUCGGGAUAAGCUUGGGACACUGGGUCUAAUACCGGAUAGUGCAAGAUGAGCUCGCGGCCUAUCGGCUUGUUGGUGGGGUAAUGGCUACCAAGGCGCGACGGGUAGCCGGCUUGAGAGGGUGUACGGGCGCAUUGGGGCUUCGACAGGGCCAACAUGCCAAGGGGAGGCAGCAGUGGGGAUUCUUGACCAAUGCGAGGUAGUCUGAUGCAUUGACGGCGAGGGGGGGAUGAAGGCAUGUUGGCCGGAAACGUCUCGCGAUAGGGACGCGGCAUCGGCACCAGAAGCACUGGGUAUAUACGCGUCAGCAGCCGCGGUAAUUC